GACGAACGCUGGCGGCGUGCUUAACACAUGCAAGUCGAACGGAAAGGCCCCCACUUUUUUGGUGGGGGUGCUCGAGUGGCGAACGGGUGAGUAACACGUGGGUGAUCUGCCCUGUACUUCGGGAUAAGCUUGGGAAACUGGGUCUAAUACCGGAUAGGACCAUGGUUUAGUGUCUCAUGGUGGAAAAAUUAUUGUUUUGGUGCAGGAUGAGCUCGCGGCCUAUCAGCUUGUUGGUGGGGUAAUGGCCUACCAAGGCGUCGACGGGUAGCCGGCCUGAGGGGGUGGACGGCCACAUUGGGACUGAGAUACGGCCCAGACUCCUACGGGAGGCAGCAGUGGGGAAUAUUGCACAAUGGGCGCAAGCCUGAUGCAGCGACGCCGCGUGGGGGAUGACGGCCUUCGGGUUGUAAACUCCUUUCGUUAGGGACGAAGCCGCACCUUUUUUGGGUGUGGUGACGGUACCUUUGUUAAGAAGCACCGGCUAACUACGUG
rnacentral:rRNA from 1 species